rnacentral:rRNA from 1 species
GACGAACGCUGGCGGCGUGCUUAACACAUGCAAGUCGAACGAAGUGGCGAACGGGCGAGUAACGCGAAAUCAACCUGCCCUUCAGAGGGGGACAACAGUUGGACACGACCGCUAAUACCGCAUACUGAAGGAGGGGAUUUCGUCGGAUUAGCUAGUUGGAGGGGUAACGCCCUACGAAGGCGAUGAUCAGUAGCCGGUCUGAGAGGAUGAACGGCAACAGUGGGACUGUGACCCGGACCAGACACCUACGGGAGGCAGCAGUGGGGAAUCUUCCGCAAUGAACGAAAGUCUGACGGAGCAACGCCGCGUGAGUGAUGACGGCCUUCGUGUUGUAAAGCUCUGUUAAUCGGGACGCGAUACCGGAAUAGAAGGCCACGGCUAACUACGUGCCAGCAGCCGCGGUAAUAC